rnacentral:misc_RNA from 1 species
CAACGUAUCCACGUACCAAACUCUCGAACUGUUCCCGACGGAGUAAACCUCUUGUGGAUGAAGUUUAUGAUUGACUGUCUUUCGCUGAUGGAGUACACUGAUUUCGAUCGGUGGACUGAAAGACUUUCGGUCGCCGGAGCUCGCUCUGGGACUUCGUUUGCUCCGUUGCGGUUUUACCGUCAGCGUGUUUUACCCAUUAUUAACCCUUUGACCUUUUGAACUGAACUUGACAACCUCGCAGCAGUCCUUGCUGGCUUCGGUCACGGACUUUGCGGCUUGGUAAUCAUUUUACGAAACAAAGAA